rnacentral:rRNA from 1 species
UACGGGGGGGGCAAGCGUUGUUCGGAAUUACUGGGCGUAAAGGGCUCGUAGGCGGUUUGUCGCGUCGGGGAGUGAAAACUCAGGGCUUAACCCUGAGCCUGCUUCCGAUACGGGCAGACUAGAGGUAUGCAGGGGAGAACGGAAUUCCUGGUGUAGCGGUGAAAUGCGCAGAUAUCAGGAGGAACACCGGUGGCGAAGGCGGUUCUCUGGGCAUUACCUGACGCUGAGGAGCGAAAGUGUGGGGAGCGAACAGG